rnacentral:rRNA from 1 species
UGGCGGCGUGCCUAACACAUGCAAGUCGAACGAAGCAUUUGGAGUUGAUCCCUCGGGUGACGCACCUUAUGACUUAGUGGCGGACGGGUGAGUAACACGUGAGCAACCUGCCUCUCAGAGUGGAAUAACAGUUGGAAACGGCUGCUAAUACCACAUAACGUUUUUGUGCCGCAUGACACUUCAACCAAAGAUUUAUCGCUGAGAGAUGGGCUCGCGUCCGAUUAGGUAGAUGGUGGGGUAACGGCCUACCAUGCCGACGAUCGGUAGCCGGACUGAGCGGUUGAUCGGCCACAUUGGGACUGAGACACGGCCCAGACUCCUACGGGAGGCAGCAGUGGGGGAUAUUGCACAAUGGGCGCAAGCCUGAUGCAGCAACGCCGCGUGCGGGAAGACGGCCUUCGGGUUGUAAACCGCUGUCCUUGGGGAAGAAACAAAUGACGGUACCCAAGAAGGAAGCCACGGCUAACUACGUGCCAGCCGCUGC